rnacentral:rRNA from 1 species
UGGGGAAUAUUGCACAAUGGGGGAAACCCUGAUGCAGCGACGCCGCGUGGACGAAGAAGUAUUUCGGUAUGUAAAGUCCUUUCAGCAGGGAAGAAGAUGACAGUACCUGACUAAGAAGCCCCGGCUAACUACGUGCCAGCAGCCGCGGUAAUACGUAGGGGGCAAGCGUUAUCCGGAUUCACUGGGCGUAAAGGGAGCGCAGGCGGCACGGCAAGUCUGAUGUGAAAACCCGGGGCUCAACCCCGGGACUGCAUUGGAAACUGCCGGGCUGGAGUGCCGGAGGGGUAAGCGGAAUUCCUAGUGUAGCGGUGAAAUGCGUAGAUAUUAGGAGGAACACCAGUGGCGGAGGCGGCUUACUGGACGGCAACUGACGCUGAGGCUCGAAAGCGUGGGGAGCAAACAGG